CUCUCAUUCAAAUAAACGAAAUAAUAAGUCCAAAUAUCCUGAUAAGCACCAUAACAGACUGUACUCCUUCCCUCUCACAACAAACACUCAAAUUUAAAAAUUUACAAAAAAAAAAAAAAAAAAAAGAACCCCCAAGAGCUCUAAAAAAAAAAAAAAAAAAAAGAGAAAAAAUUGGAGAAAAGAUUAAAAAGAGAGUCCAUGGUCAAAACUGCCAUAAAACUUCCAAUUUAAGAAAAAAAAA
rnacentral:misc_RNA from 1 species